AGUUUUGGUCGAUGAACGGUGCUUGCACUGUGAUUCAACUUAAAACGAGUGGCGGACGGGUGAGUAACACGUGGGUAACCUGCCCUUAAGUGGGGGAUAACAUUUGGAAACAGAUGCUAAUACCGCAUAAAUCCAAGAACCGCAUGGUUCUUGGCUGAAAGAUGGCGCAAGCUAUCGCUUUUGGAUGGACCCGCGGCGUAUUAGCUAGUUGGUGAGGUAACGGCUCACCAAGGCGAUGAUACGUAGCCGAACUGAGAGGUUGAUCGGCCACAUUGGGACUGAGACACGGCCCAAACUCCUACGGGAGGCAGCAGUAGGGAAUCUUCCACAAUGGACGCAAGUCUGAUGGAGCAACGCCGCGUGAGUGAAGAAGGCUUUCGGGUCGUAAAACUCUGUUGUUGGAGAAGAAUGGUCGGCAGAGUAACUGUUGUCGGCGUGACGGUAUCCAACCAGAAAGCCACGGCUAACUACGUGCCAGCAGCCGCGGUAAUACGUAGGUGGCAAGCGUUAUCCGGAUUUAUUGGGCGUAAAGCGAGCGCAGGCGGUUUUUUAAGUCUGAUGUGAAAGCCCUCGGCUUAACCGAGGAAGCGCAUCGGAAACUGGGAAACUUGAGUGCAGAAGAGGACAGUGGAACUCCAUGUGUAGCGGUGAAAUGCGUAGAUAUAUGGAAGAACACCAGUGGCGAAGGCGGCUGUCUGGGUCUGUAACUGACGCUGAGGCUCGAAAAGCAUGGGUAGCGAACAGGAUUAGAUACCCCUGGUAGUCCAUGCCGUAAACGAUGAAUGCUAGGUGUUGGAGGGUUUCCGCCCUUCAUGCCGCCACUAACCAUUAAGCAUUCCGCCUGGGGGGUACCAACGCAAGGUGAAACUCAAGGAUUGACGGGGCCCGCACAGGCGGCGGACAUGUGGUUUAUUCAGAAUCACGCAAAAAACUUACCAGUCUUUGAUCUUUUUUGUUACCUUAUCA
rnacentral:rRNA from 1 species